AGCAGUGAGGGCUAUCUGGCUGAGACAUCUGUCACCACAUUGAUUCCAGAGUUGAUUCAGCAAGUGUCCCCUUCCUCCCUUACUGCUCCAUGGGCAUCCCUCCCGAAGCUGGACGCUCAAUCAAAGAAGACGACCACCCCGAUAGAGGAGGACCCUUUCCUGGGUCAGGGUACACAAGAAGCAGCCCUCACCUGCUAGAACUUCCAAACAAGCUCUGAAGAAAAAUAACAUUUCCUGUUAUGCAUUGUUUAUAUGUCAUGUACACGAGUGCAUAUACAUACAUAUAUAUAUAU
rnacentral:snRNA from 1 species